ensembl:lncRNA
AUGAACUAUGGAAUGAGGUUUGUGACAUUGUACAGGAGACAGGGAUCAAGACCAUUCCCAUGGAAAAGAAAUGCAAAAAAAGCAAAAUGGCUGUCUGGGGAGGCCUUAUAUAUAGCUGUGAAAAGAAGAGAAGCGAAAAGCAAAGGAGAAAAGGAAAGAUAUAAACGUCUGAAUGCAGAGUUCCAAAGAAUAGCAAGAAGAGAUAAGAAAGCCUUCUUUAGCGAUCAAUGCAAAGAAAUAGAGGAAAACAACAGAAUGGGAAAGACUAGGGAUCUCUUCAAGAAAAUCAGAGAUACCAAAGGAACAUUUCGUGCAAAGAUGAGCUCAAUAAAGGACAGAAAUGGUAUGUACCUAACAGAAGCAGAAGAUAUUAAGAAGAGAUGGCAAGAAUACACAGAAGAACUGUACAAAAAAGAUCGUCAUGACCCAGAUAAUCACGAUGGUGUGAUCACUCACCUAGAGCCAGACAUCCUGGAAUGUGAAGUCAAGUGGGCCUUAGAAAGCAUCACUACGAACAAAGCUAGUGGAGGUGAUGGAAUUCCGGUGGAGCUAUUUCAAAUCCUGAGAGAUGAUGCUGUGAAAGUGCUGCACUCAAUAUGCCAGCAAAUGUGGAAAACUCAGCAGUGGCCACAGGACUGGAAAAGGUCAGUUUUCAUUCCAAUCCCAAAGAAAGGCAAUGCCAAAGAAUGCUCAAACUACCACACAAUUGUACUCAUCUCACACACUAGUAAAGUAAUGCUUAAAAUUCUCCAAGCCAGGCUUCAGCAAUAUGUGAACCGUGAACUUCCUGAUGUUGAAGCUGGUUUUAGAAAAGGCAGAGGAACCAGAGAUCAAAUUGUCAACAUCUGCUGGAUCAUGGAAAAAGCAAGAGAGUUCCAGAAAAGCAUCUAUUUCUGCUUUAUUGACUAUGCCAAAGCCUUUGACUGUGUGAUCACAGUAAACUGUGGAAAAUUCUUCAUAGAUGGGAAUACCAGACCACCUGACCUGCCUCUUGAGAAGUUUGUAUGCAGCUCAGGAAGCAACAGUUAG